rnacentral:rRNA from 1 species
CCUACGGGUGGCUGCAGUCGAGAAUCAUUCGCAAUGGGCGAAAGCCUGACGAUGCGACGCCGUGUGAGCGAAGAAGGCCUUAGGGUCGUAAAGCUCUUUCGCCUGGGAACAAGAGAAGUCGGCUAAUAUCCGGCGGAUUUGAGGGUACUAGGUAAAGAAGCACCGGCUAACUCCGUGCCAGCAGCUGCGGUAAUACGGAGGGUGCAAGCAUUGAUCGGGGUUAUUGUGCGUAAAGGGCGUGGUGACGGGGGAAAUCCUGGGGCUCAACCUCAGAACUGCAUUUGAAACUGUAUCUCUCGAGGGUAGGCGGAGAAAACGGAAUUCCACAAGUAGCGGUGAAAUGCGUAGAUAUGUGGAAGAACACCGGUGGCGAAGGCGGUUUUCUAGCUUAUUCCUGACGCUGAGGCGCGAAAGCAAGGGGAUCAAACAGGAUUAGAUACCCCAGUAGUC